AGCAGCCGCGGUAAUUCCAGCUCCAAUAGCGUAUAUUAAAGUUGUUGCAGUUAAAAAGCUCGUAGUUGAAUUUCGGAGUUUGUCGGUUGGUCGGGCUUCACUGUCCGCACUGGCCUGAUGGAUUCCUACCUUCUGAAUAACCAGCAUGCUAUUAAUUUAGUGCGUUGGGGAAGCAGAGCUAUUACCUUGAAAAAUUAGAGUGCUUAAAGCAGGCUUACGCUUGAAUAGAUUAGCAUGGAAUAAUAAAAUAGGACGGCUUGGUUCUAUUUUGUUGGUUUCUAGGAUCACCGUAAUGAUUAAUAGGGAUAGUUGGGGGCAUUAGUAUUCAAUUGUCAGAGGUGAAAUUCUUGGAUUUAUUGAAGACUAACUUCUGCGAAAGCAUUUGCCAGGAUGUUUUCAUUAAUCAAGAACGAAAGUUAGGGGAUCGAAGACGAUCAGAUACCGUCGUAGUCUUAACCAUAAACUAUGCCGACUAGGGAUCGGACGAUGUAAUUUUUUAAUGACUCGUUCGGCGCCUUAC
rnacentral:rRNA from 1 species